UACGUAGGGUGCGAGCGUUGCCCGGAUUUAUUGGGCGUAAAGGGCGCGUAGGCGGCUCUGCACGUCCGUUGUGAAAUCGCCCGGCUCAACUGGGCGGGGUCAGCGGAUACGGCGGAGCUUGAGCAAGCUAGGGGGCAAUGGAAUUCCGGGUGUAGCGGUGGAAUGCGUAGAGAUCCGGAAGAACACCGGUGGCGAAGGCGGCCUGCUGGGCAGUAGCUGACGCUGAGGCGCGACAGCGUGGGGAGCAAACGGG
rnacentral:rRNA from 1 species